GAUUCCCUGCUAUGCGCGUUUUAGUUUGACGUAUUUUGAGCCAACACCAUAUUGAAAGGGAGCCUAACUUUAAACGUGGAUUGUAGGCCCGAUUCGUCGGGAAACAUGAAACUUUAAGAGGGCACCCACCUUUUAAAAGAGGUUCAUAAAAUAGUCAAACCGGACGGCAUAGCGGGGUUUUU
rnacentral:other from 1 species